CCUACGGGGGGCAGCAGUGGGGAAUAUUGGACAAUGGGCGAAAGCCUGAUCCAGCCAUGCCGCGUGUGUGAAGAAGGCCUUCGGGUUGUAAAGCACUUUCAGUGGGGAAGAAAGCCUUGGGGCUAAUACCCUCGAGGAAGGACAUCACCCACAGAAGAAGCACCGGCUAACUCCGUGCCAGCAGCCGCGGUAAUACGGAGGGUGCGAGCGUUAAUCGGAAUUACUGGGCGUAAAGCGCGCGUAGGCGGUCUGAUAAGCCGGUUGUGAAAGCCCCGGGCUCAACCUGGGAACGGCAUCCGGAACUGUCAGGCUAGAGUGCAGGAGAGGAAGGUAGAAUUCCCGGUGUAGUAGUGAAAUGCGUAGAGAUCGGGAGGAAUACCAGUGGCGAAGGCGGCCUUCUGGACUGACACUGACGCUGAGGUGCGAAAGCGUGGGUAGCAAACAGGAUUAGAUACCCUGGUAGUC
rnacentral:rRNA from 1 species